rnacentral:rRNA from 1 species
UACAGAGGUCUCGAGCGUUGUUCGGAUUCAUUGGGCGUAAAGGGUGCGUAGGUGGUAUGGCAAGUCGGAUGUGAAAUCCCGGGGCUCAACCUCGGAACUGCAUUCGAUACUGCCGUGCUUGAGUACUGGAGAGGAGAUCGGAAUUUACGGUGUAGCAGUGAAAUGCGUAGAUAUCGUAAGGAAGACCAGUGGCGAAGGCGGAUCUCUGGACAGUUACUGACACUGAGGCACGAAGGCCAGGGGAGCAAACGGG